rnacentral:lncRNA from 1 species
GUUCAUCCCUCCCUCCCUCUAACCCUUGGCAACCACUGAUCUUUUUGCUGUCUCCAUAGUUUUGCCUUUUUCCACAAUAUUGUAUAACGGGGAUCACACAGUAUGAAACUUUUGCAGAUUGGCUUCUUUCACUUACUAAUAUGCUUUUGAGGUUUAGGGGCAGUAUUUUAAUGCAGCAACAGAUAAUCAAAAUUCUUGGAAUAUCAGGAAAAUCCGUUUACCAGUCACUGAGAUAACCAAAAAAUUGUAAUCUCUCAUUUCAAAGAGAAAAGACUGGAGGCUUAGAGAGGCUGCACAUCAAACAUCACAUAUUCAGCAGGUGGUAGAGUUGAGAUAUGAGCCCGGGUUGGUCUGCAUCCAGAGUCUAUGUUUUAACACUUAGCCUCUUAUUGAAUAUAUAUAGGAAACAUUAUUUUGCAUACCCAUAAGUAGAGCUGAGGAGUCCCCUGAGCCUGGGUGGAUCUUCAGAAUGUAAAGUCACUCUGGAAAUUCUGUCUCAGGUCUUGUGGCAUUGUCAUGCCGAAAGAGGGGAAGAUCUCAGACUCCUUUAAACAAUCUGCUGUCGUGUAAACUGUUAUAAGAGCGCCAACAGAGUGAGAACUCACUCAUUGCCAUGCUGAGGGCACCACAGCAUUCACGAGGGAUCCCCUCCCGUGGCCCAAGCCCCUCCCACC